rnacentral:rRNA from 1 species
AUUGAACGCUGGCGGCAGGCCUAACACAUGCAAGUCGAGCGGAUGAAGGGAGCUUGCUCCUGGAUUCAGCGGCGGACGGGUGAGUAAUGCCUAGGAAUCUGCCUGGUAGUGGGGGAUAACGUCCGGAAACGGGCGCUAAUACCGCAUACGACCUGAGGGAGAAAGAGGGGGAUCUUCGGACCUCACGCUAUCAGAUGAGCCUAGGUCGGAUUAGCUAGUUGGUGGGGUAAGGGCCUACCAAGGCGACGAUCCGUAACUGGUCUGAGAGGAUGAUCAGUCACACUGGAACUGAGACACGGUCCAGGCUCCUACGGGAGGCAGCAGUGGGGAAUAUUGGACAAUGGGCGAAAGCCUGAUCCAGCCAUGCCGCGUGUGUGAAGAAGGUCUUCGGAGUGUAAAGAACUUUAAGUGGGGAGGAAGGACAGUAAGUUAAUACCUUGCUGUUUUGACGGUACCAACAGAAGAAGCACCGGCUAACUUCGUG